GAGCCUCUGACGCAUGGACUCAGCGCAUCUGCCGUCCAUUUGAGAUCUGAAAUCUGCCAAUUUCCAGCAGAAAGUCUUGGUUCGAAUCCAAGGAAGCUCU